rnacentral:rRNA from 1 species
UACAGAGGUCCCAAGCGUUGUUCGGAUUCACUGGGCGUAAAGGGUGCGCAGGUGGUCGGGUAAGUCUGACGUGAAAUCCCGCAGCUUAACUGCGGAAUGGCAUUGGAUACUAUUCGGCUAGAGGGUUGGAGGGGGACUGGAAUUCUCGGUGUAGCAGUGAAAUGCGUAGAUAUCGAGAGGAACACCAGUGGCGAAGGCGAGUCCCUGGACAACUCCUGACGCUGAGGCACGAAAGCUAGGGGAGCAAACAGG